rnacentral:lncRNA from 1 species
AGACUAUCCAUGAAGAAACUAUGUCAGGAGCCUUCAGGGGUUGUCUGGAGAGGUGCUGAUGCUGAGACCAUGUUGCCCCAUUCAGUGCCAG